rnacentral:rRNA from 1 species
UACGAAGGGGGCUAGCGUUGCUCGGAAUCACUGGGCGUAAAGGGCGCGUAGGCGGCCGGCCAAGUCGGGGGUGAAAGCCUGUGGCUCAACCACAGAAUGGCCCUCGAUACUGGCUGGCUCGAGACCGGAAGAGGUUGGUGGAAUUGCGAGUGUAGAGGUGAAAUUCGUAGAUAUUCGCAAGAACACCGGUGGCGAAGGCGGCCAACUGGUCCGGAUCUGACGCUGAGCGCGAAAGCGUGGGGAGGCAAACAG